UACGUAGGGUGCGAGCGUUGUCCGGAAUUACUGGGCGUAAAGCGCACGUAGGCGGCUUUGUAAGUAAGAGGUGAAAGCCCAGAGCUCAACUCUGGAAUUGCCUUUUAGACUGCAUCGCUAGAAUCGUGGAGAGGUAAGUGGAAUUCCGAGUGUAGAGGUGAAAUUCGUAGAUAUUCGGAAGAACACCAGUGGCGAAGGCGACUUACUGGACACGUAUUGACGCUGAGGUGCGAAAGCGUGGGGAGCAAACAGG
rnacentral:rRNA from 1 species